CCCGCACAAGCGGUGGAGCAUGUGGUUUAAUUCGACGAUACGCGAAGAACCUUACCUGGCCUUGACAUAGAAAGAACUUUCCAGAGACGGAUUGGUGCUAGUUUACUAGAGCUUUCAUACAGGUGCUGCACGGCUGUCGUCAGCUCGUGUCGUGAGAUGUUGGGUUAAGUCCCGCAACGAGCGCAACCCUCGUGUUUAGUUACUAACAGUUCGGCUGAGGACUCUAAACAGACUGCCUGGGUAACCAGGAGGAAGGUGAGGACGACGUCAAGUCAUCAUGGCCCUUACGGCCAGGGCUACACACGUGCUACAAUGGGGUAUACAAAGAGCUGCAAUACGGUGACGUGGAGCAAAUCUCAUAAAAUAUCUCCCAGUUCGGAUUGAAGUCUGCAACUCGACUUCAUGAAGUUGGAAUCGCUAGUAAUCGUAGAUCAGCAAUGCUACGGUGAAUACGUUCCCGGGUCUUGUACUCACCGCCCGUCACACCAUGGGAAUUGAAUUCAUUCGAAGCGGGGAUGCUAAAAUAGCUACCUUCCACAGUGGAUUUAGUAACUAGGGUGAAGUCGUAACAAGGUA
rnacentral:rRNA from 1 species